rnacentral:lncRNA from 1 species
UGGCCCCACCAGAAACAAUCAGGUUUCUUCCCCAGAAUUUUUUAUUUAGAGAUAGAGAAAAAGAGGUAGUAUUAUUUUUGGUGAUACAGCUGGAAAUGGGCUAUUGGCAAACAUCUUCCCCACUAUGUGGAGAAAGCGUAUCUUUAGAAGGAGAAAAUGUGGCCACAACAACACAGAGAUGUGUAGAGUUUAGAGAGCCCGUGACAGCAAGAGGGAGAGAAUGAACUACCGUCUUGACAAUCUCACUUAAGCUUCUGAAUGCAAUUGUGAACGGACUUCCACUUACAGACCAUAUAAGAAUCACUAACAUGAGCUGCAUACGCUGGAGGCCCCUCUGCUGUCAUUAUUUUAUGUGCUGGAAAACGCUGCGAUGGGAAGACAGCCCAGUCAGAUGGGGAUGGCCUGGAAUAGGAGCCAGGUAUCUGUGUCAUGGACUAGUAAUACAAGUCUCUUGGCCUCUCUGGGCUUCAGUUUCUUCACCUGUUCAACCAAAGGCAUGAACCGAAAGCCUUCUCAGGUCCCUUUCACCUCGACUGCUCUAUGUCAGUAUGAUCUUUUAAAUCAACUCCCUGAUUUUACCUAUAAGGCCCAGGGGCUCCCCUGGUCACAGAGCCAGGACACAGUUUAGAACCUAGACCUCCUGACUCAGAUUGUCCUCUAGGGCAGACCAACUUCCUUGCCAAUUAUAGAAGAGGAGCAGGGUUCUAUUACACUGUUAGCACUUACUUUCUUUGAUUCCAGAGCAUCCUAUUUCACUCCAUUUUUCCAAGAAUGAAGAACGAGAGCCAGGUCCCAAACCCAGUCCCCAGUGGGCCACUUAACUUCCCUCUCUUCAUGACUCAGG